UGACGUGAAAGCACACGGCUCGAUCGUGAGGAGUCAGUAGAAACUGGGCAGCAUGAGUGCAGAGAGUGAACGUGUAAUUCCAUGAAUAGCGCUGAAAUGCGCAGAGAUAUGGAGGAACACCAGUGGCGAAGGCGACGUUAUGGUCGGUAACUGACGAUGAUGUGCGAAUGCGUCGGGAUCAGACAGGAUGAGAUACCAUGGUAGUACAGGCGGUAAAUGAUGAGUGCUAAGUGUUAGGGGGUUUCCGCCCCAUAGUGCUGCAGAUACAGCAUUCAGCAGUAGUCCUGGGGAGUGCGUCCGCAUAGGUUGAAACUCAAAGGAAUCGACGCGGACCCGCACGCGCGGUGGAGCAUGUGGUGUAAUUCGAAGCACCGUGAAGAACCUUACCAUAUCUUGACAUCUUUUGAGCACUAGAGAGAUCGAGCUUUCCCCUUCGGGGGACAAAGUGCCAGGUGGUGCAUGGUUGUCGUCAGCUGGUGUCGUGAGAUGUUGGGCUAAGUCCGGCAACGAGCGCAACCGUUAAGAUUAGUAACCAUCACUAAGUUGGGCACUUUAGGUUGACAACCGGGGACAAACC
rnacentral:rRNA from 1 species